AGUUUGAUCCUGGCUCAGAUUGAACGGUGGCGGCAGGCCUAACACAUGCAAGUCGAGCGGUAACAGGAGAAAGCUUGCUUUCUUGCUGACGAGCCCCGGACGGGUGAGUAAUGUAUGGGGAUCUGCCCGAUAGAGGGGGAUAACUACUGGAAACGGUGGCUAAUACCGCAUAAUGUGUACGGACCAAAGCAGGGGCUCUUCGGACCUUGCACUAUCGGAUGAACCCAUAUGGGAUUAGCUAGUAGGUGGGGAAAAAGGCUCACCUAGGCGACGAUCUCUAGCUGGUCUGAGAGGAUGAUCAGCCACACUGGGCUGAGACACGGCCCAGACUCCUACGGGAGGCUGCAGUGGGGAAUAUUGCACAAUGGGCGCAAGCCUGAUGCAGCCAUGCCGCGUGUAUGAAGAAGGCCUUAGGGUUGUUUAGUACUUUCAGCGGGGAGGAAGGUGAUAAGGUUAAUACCCUUAUCAAUUGACGU
rnacentral:rRNA from 1 species